UACGUAGGGGGCAAGCGUUGUCCGGAUUUAUUGGGCGUAAAGAGCGUGUAGGCGGCCAUACAGGUCAGCUGUGAAAACUCGAGGCUCAACCUCGAGACGUCGGUUGAAACCGUAUGGCUAGAGUCCGGAAGAGGAGGGAAUUCCCGGUGUAGCGGUGAAAUGCGCAGAUAUCGGGAAGAACACCCGUGGCGAAGGCGGCUCUCUGGGACGGUACUGACGCUGAGACGCGAAAGCGUGGGGAGCGAACAGG
rnacentral:rRNA from 1 species